GGGGGGAGCAAGCGUUGUUCGGAUUUACUGGGCGUAAAGGGCGCGUAGGCGGCCACCGCAAGUCAAUUGUGAAAUCUCCGGGCUUAACUCGGAAAGGUCAACUGAUACUGCGGGGCUAGAGUGCGGAAGGGGCAACUGGAAUUCUCGGUGUAGCGGUGAAAUGCGUAGAUAUCGAGAGGAACACCUGCGGCGAAGGCGGGUUGCUGGGCCGACACUGACGCUGAGGCGCGAAAGCUAGGGGAGCGAACGGGAUUAGAUACCCCGGUAGUCCUAGCCUUAAACGAUGAAUGCUUGGUGUCUGGGGUUACAAAGUCCCCGGGUGCCGUCGCUAACGCUUUAAGCAUUCCGCCUGGGGAGUACGGUCGCAAGACUGAA
rnacentral:rRNA from 1 species